rnacentral:rRNA from 1 species
AAGUCGAACGCGAAAGCACCUUCGGGGUGUCAGUAGAGUGGCGAAUGGGUGAGUAGCACGUGGGCAACUUGCCUUUCAGUGGGGGAUAAGUUUGGGAAACCACGGCUAAUACCGCAUGGUCUCUCCGGAAUGCAUGUUCUGGAGAGUAAACGAGGGGGAUCCUACGAGACCUCUUGCUGAAAGAUGGGCCCGCGCUCCAUUAGCUUGAUGGCGAGGUAACGGCUCACCAUGUGCGACGAUGGAUAGCUGGUCUGAGAGGAUGGUCAGGCACAAUGUGAUUGAGAUACGGCCCAUACCCCCACUGGGGGCAUCAGUCUAAAAGCUACCGCAAUGGGCGCAAUCCUGACGGAGCGACGCCGCGUGGACGAUUAAUGCCUUCGGGUAAGUAAAGUCCUUUUCUCAGGGAAGAAGUGUAUGGUCUCCAAUACCGGCCAUGCUUGACGGUACUUGAGGAAUAAGCCCCGGCUAAGUCCGUGCCAGCAGUCCGCGGUAAUACGGGCGGGCCGGAGCGUUAUUCGGAUUCAUCGGGGCGUAAAGGGCGCGUAGGCGGCAUAGUAAGUCAUAUGUGAAAUCUCCACGGCUCAACCUGGGAAAUUGCCUUUGAUACUGCUGUGCUUGAGUACGGUAGAGGCCAGUGGAAUUCUCAGUGUAUCGGUGAAACGCAUAGAUAUUGGGAGGAACACCAAUGGCGAAGGCGACCUGCUGGGCCGACACUGACGCUGAGGUGCGAAAGCCAGGGGAGCGAACGGGAAUAGAUACCCCGGUAGUCAUGGCCGUAGACGUUGGGCACUAGGUGUAGGAGGUAUCGACCCCUCGUGCACAGCAGCUAACGCAGUAAGUGCCCCGCCUGGGGAGUACGGUCGCAAGACUGAAACUCAAAGGAAUAGACGGGGGCCCGCACAAGCGGUGGAGCAUGCGGUUUAAUUCGACGCAACGCGAAGAACCUUACCAGGGCCUGACAUCACCGAAAGGUACCGUGGCCCCACUGGAAACAGGGGGUCUUAGGUAGACAGGUGUCGCAUGCAGGUCGUCAGCUCGUGUCGUGAGAUGUUGGGUUAAGUCCCGCAACGAGCGCAACCUUUAUUCGUAGCCACCAGCGGCUCAAGCCGGGGACUCUAAGGAGACUGCCGGUGUAAGCCGGAGGAAGUCGGGGAUGACGUCAAGUCAUCAUGCCCCUUACAGCCAUGGGCUACACAGCGUGCUACAAUGGCCGAUACAAAGUCUUGCAAGACCGUAAGUUGGACCCAAUCACAUAAAAUCGGCCUCAGUUCGGAUUGAGGUCUGUAACUCGACCCCAUGAAGCUGGAAUCGCUAGUAAUCGCAGAUCAGCUACGCUGCGGUGAAUACGUUCCCGGGCCUUGUACACACCGCCCGUCAAAUGACCCGAGUUGGGUGCACCCGAAGUCGAUGGCCUAACCCGUCAGGGGGGGAG